AGAGUUUGAUCAUGGCUCAGGAUGAACGCUGGCGGCGUGCUUAACACAUGCAAGUCGAACGGACCUGUACUGAAACCUAGUGAUUUACAGGUUAGUGGCGGACGGGUGAGUAACGCGUGGAAAACCUGCCGUAUACUGGGGGAUAACACUUAGAAAUAGGUGCUAAUACCGCAUAAGCGCACAGGCCCGCAUGGGACAGUGUGAAAAACUCCGGUGGUAUACGAUGGUUCCGCGUCUGAUUAGCUUGUUGGCGGGGUAACGGCCCACCAAGGCGACGAUCAGUAGCCGGCCUGAGAGGGUGAACGGCCACAUUGGGACUGAGACACGGCCCAGACUCCUACGGGAGGCAGCAGUGGGGAAUAUUGCACAAUGGGGGAAACCCUGAUGCAGCGACGCCGCGUGAGUGAAGAAGUAUCUCGGUACGUAAAGCUCUAUCAGCAGGGAAGAAAAAAAGUCUUUGGCUUUGGACGGUACCUGACUAAGAAGCCCCGGCUAACUACGUGCCAGCAGCCGCGGUAAUACGUAGGGGGCAAGCGUUAUCCGGAUUUACUGGGUGUAAAGGGAGCGUAGACGGCAGCGCAAGUCUGGAGUGAAAUGCCGGGGCUCAACCCCGGAACUGCUUUGGAAACUGUGCAGCUAGAGUGCGGGAGAGGCAAGCG
rnacentral:rRNA from 1 species